CUCUUCACAUCUCUCUUGACACCCGCUCUCUCUCUCUCUAUCGCUUUCUUUGGCGUGUUCCUCUCUCUCUCAUCUUAUAAAGAAGGUUCCUUCUUCUGGAUUAGAUUCGAAUUCCAUUUAUUUCAAUUUAAUGCCGCUCUCUCUCAUCAGAAGUUGCAGGCUUUUCUCUCUCUUCAUCUACGAAGAGGAAGGAUCCCGAGAAUCCACGCUCUGUGACAUGGCCAUGGACGUGUCUUCCCCACAGUGCGUUGACGUUGGCAGGCUGAGCCCUAAACCAGUGAUCUCCAAUAAUGGUGUCGUUGUGAUGUAAGAGAGUGAGUGGCUCGGUGAGACAGGAGUCUUCUCUCUCUCCCCUUCUCUCUUUGCCUACGAUGCGGUCCGCUGUUGCAGGGAAUUUAAAUUUCUGACACCAUAAUUAACUCCUAAUUUCCUUUGUUUUUUCCUGUUGCUUUUGUAAAUUCUCAACUUUCUCGCUCUUCUGUAAAUUCUCAACUUUCUCUCUCUUCCUCUGCUGUAAAUUACGUGUCCCCCGUCUCUCUCUUUUCCCUUUCUGUGUAUUCGUCUUCUUCAAACCACGCGUCCAUCUCUCUGUUGGAUAACUCUCUUUCCCUCUUCUGCAUUGCACGUUUCUCCCAAUAUCUGUCUGUCAUCUGUUGUAUCAAGAGAUUUAUUGAGCGCUCAGCUCUGAUAUGAAGCGCGUCGUAUCGAGUCUCGUGCACGUAGCUAGAGUUCUUUGUUCAGAAAUCGCUGAGAGCGAUGAGGAAGAGAAUGGAGAGCCCAACAAAUCCCUACGUCUUUCCCCUUACAAGUUUGCAGAUUGGGGACCUGCAAUCUUAUCUUUCGAGUCUCAGCUUGUAUUUGGCACCUGAAAGUAAGAAAUUUUUUAUUCUUGUAGACAACAGGCCGUGGUUAAUGAAUCGGCACUCUCGUCCAACACAUCUCUGGCAAUUCAUGGUUACCAAGUCAAGAUUGUCUCCGUUUGCAAAUACUAGAGCAAGGCGCGAGAAAAAGGAGAAUGGAAGAAAAUUUGAUUUAAAGAGUGGCUCGAAACCUAACCAUAGCAGGCAAAAGAAACUCUUAAGAUGGUUUUCUGUUGUUGACGCUGCAAUUGCUCGGAAGAAAGCUUUGUUGCCUGUGAAAGAUUUGCAUCAAACAUUAUAUGGCUUUAUAGUGUUUGAAGUGUCAUGGGGUGAUGUGCGGGGCAUUAACUAUUUGAAUGAGCUCCAAACAGAUACAUCUGUUGCCCUGGAGGUUAAACACAUGCGAAAAUGGGAAUUUGAUAGUAUUGAACAAGCUUCAGUUCGUGUAUUUACUUGGUUUUCAGGAACAUUCCAUGAAGCAUGUGUUUUGAAAGAUUAUUUAAAUGAGAUGUCCGAUAAAAUCAUGCCUUUUAGGUCUCGUAUUUGUAGUAGUUACGGAGACUCACAUUUUGAUGGUCCAUUUUCGGAAGCUUUCAACCAGUAUGUGUUUUAUGAUGCUGAAGAGUGUUCUUCAAACUUAGGGAAUUUAGAUGAUGAUGGAAGACAUGUGUGCACCGAAGAAACUCUUCUUGGUGAUUUGGAUAGUGGGGGUAUGGCAGGAACGCAGAGCCCAACUCAUCUAGAAUUGGGACUAAAUUUAGAAUAUACUCCUAGUUCUAGUCCUUACAAGCGAAGAAAAAUAACCAGAAGUGGAACUGCAGGGACCGAUAUUGAUAUAGCUUUAACAGAAUACAGAUAUUAUGAGCAAGGAAGCCCCAGAGAGAAUUUAGGCAGUUCUUCUGAUGGAAGUAGUUUUGGCAACUUAAAAAGUGACUCAACUUUAGAGCCCACCCACUAUAGAGACAUCUUAUUACUGUAUAAAUUCAGUGAUCGGGAUCUUCCAUUUGAAUUGAGUCGGAUAAUUAUGUCAGAUGUGAGGCUUCUUACUUUACUAGAGACGGGACUCCCUUCUUGGGUUAUAUUCUGUCAGUCAUAUCCUGUGUUUUGCCAGCUCUAUCGUCCAUGGAUGCGACCUCUUGCAAGGACUUUUUACGUGAUGAUUUCAGUUAUAACUGUUGUCAUUGGAUUUUAUGAUUUAUAUAAAAAUGUACCACUAGUGAAGGCUACUGCAGCUCAUCUGUUUGGGCCCUUCUUUGAUUGGAUUGAAACUUGGGAAAUGAUAUCUAGGAUCAAGUACUUGGGGACUAUGCUUUUCCUCCAGAACUUUGAAAAGGCUGUUAAAUGGUUCAUGGUGAGCACUCAUGCUUUAAGAUCAUUGAUUGCAGUUGUCACGAAGCCCAUGUCUGAACCCCUCAUGGUGAUUUUUGAAUACCUUCUGCCUAUCUGGAAGCUGUGCAUUCAGACAGUGGAGAACUUUGGUUCUGCCAUUUGGAUUGUUUUGGAAUCCACAUUCAACAUAGUAGGGGACCUUUUGGAGAUUUUACUCUGGCCAAUAUGGUUUAUCAUAUCUGUUAUCUCGAGCAUAGCAACAUCAAUAAUCUACCCAUUAUUUCUUGGACUAUGGGAAUUCUUAAUUGCACCUAUACGCUUGACACUUACACUGGCAAGUUAUGUGGCCUUGCUUUUCUCCAAUAUCUUUUAUGUAUUGAGAGAUGCUUGGUUUUCGAUAAGCGGUAUAUCACAGCUUACUGCUGCUGUGGAAGCAGCACCUGGCACGUAUGAAAUUUCCAUGUGGCGUUCACUUUGGAAUGAUCUUUUCUCACAGGUGUUUCGUGCUGUACGAAGCAUUGUUAAUGGGCUUGUUGCUUUCUUAACAACCUGCAAUCGUCAUCGUCUCAGUACCUAUAAUCAUAUGCAGGAAGUUGUUCUGCAAUUAUCACGCCUUCUCCAACGAUACCGUCGAGAGGAUCCCCAUCAUGCUUCAAGAAAAACUCAAGCUUGUAAUUUAUUAGAAAGGCAAGGAAGUCGUCAUCUGAGCAGGAGGUCAAGCAGCAGCCUUCGAAGGAGGCAUUGAGGAGAGGCGUUGAUGACUGAGAGACUUUAUCGUUUCCACUUUGGAUGCAGCUCAUAUUCUACUUUUGAUGUGGCUCAUUCUUUUAUUCGUUUUCUUUUCUUCAUCUAUUGCCUUCCUCUUACAGUUUACUUCUAUAGUGUAAGGUCGACACCAAAAGUUAUUUUGUAGCUCAAGUGCCUGCUCUUUCCUAUUCUGGUCUUGUUACUGAGGUUUUGAACUCUUUAUCUGACGAAUCGUCGCCCAUAACACACCGUUGGAAGUCCAAUGGACAGUCAUGCAGAGCAGACCGCCAUGAAAAUGACGUUCAAGGGUCUGGUGAAGGUCAUGGAGAGUGUACUAACCUAGGAGGUAAAUGAGAGGAAGGCAAUGGCAGAACAGGCUUAAGAGUAGGAGAUCCAUGAAGGGCCAGAUGAGCGAUGCCAAGGCAUCUGUGGUGUAGGAGGACGAGAGCCCUACUAAUGCUAGCCUAAUUGGGGUCACCUAGGGGUAGUUUUUAGGCCUAAAUGAAGAGCUCUUUUUGUGGAACAUGUGGGGUAUCGGUGACGUAUGGACGAGGAAAAUUUUGGCUUUCAUGAUCCAAAAGCACAGACCCUACAUACUCUUGCUCUAAGAAACGAAAUUGCAAACCCUUGAUGUUGCCCUUUUGCAAACGUUUUGGCGUAGGGGCCAAGUAGAAUUUUCUUUUUCUUAGUACUUCUGAGGAACCCUGGUUG